rnacentral:rRNA from 1 species
UACGUAGGGUGCGAGCGUUAAUCGGAAUUACUGGGCGUAAAGCGUGCGCAGGCGGUUUUGUAAGCCGGAUGUGAAAUCCCCGGGCUUAACCUGGGAAUGGCAUUCGGGACUGCAAGGCUGGAGUGCGGCAGAGGAGACUGGAAUUCCUGGUGUAGCAGUGAAAUGCGUAGAUAUCGUAAGGAAGACCAGUGGCGAAGGCGGGUCUCUGGACAGUUCCUGACGCUGAGGCACGAAGGUCAGGGGGAGCAAACGGG